rnacentral:rRNA from 1 species
UAGAAAUCUGCCCGGUAGUGGGGGAUAACCUGGGGAAACCCAGGCUAAUACCGCAUACGUCCUACGGGAGAAAGCAGGGGAUCUUCGGACCUUGCGCUAUCGGAUGAGUCUAUGUCGGAUUAGCUUGUUGGUGAGGUAAUGGCUCACCAAGGCGACGAUCCGUAGCUGGUCUGAGAGGAUGAUCAGCCACAUCGGGACUGAGACACGGCCCGAACUCCUACGGGAGGCAGCAGUGGGGAAUAUUGGACAAUGGGCGAAAGCCUGAUCCAGCCAUGCCGCGUGUGUGAAGAAGGCCUUCGGGUUGUAAAGCACUUUCAGUGGGGAAGAAAGCCUUGGGGCUAAUACCCUCGAGGAAGGACAUCACCCACAGAAGAAGCACCGGCUAACUCCGUGCCAGCAGCCGCGGUAAUACGGAGGGUGCGAGCGUUAAUCGGAAUUACUGGGCGUAAAGCGCGCGUAGGCGGUCUGAUAAGCCGGUUGUGAAAGCCCCGGGCUCAACCUGGGAACGGCAUCCGGAACUGUCAGGCUAGAGUGCAGGAGAGGAAGGUAGAAUUCCCGGUGUAGCGGUGAAAUGCGUAGAGAUCGGGAGGAAUACCAGUGGCGAAGGCGGCCUUCUGGACUGACACUGACGCUGAGGUGCGAAAGCGUGGGUAGCAAACAGGAUUAGAUACCCUGGUAGUCCACGCCGUAAACGAUGUCGACUAGCCGUUGGGCUCCUUGAGAGCUUUGUGGCGCAGUUAACGCGAUAAGUCGACCGCCUGGGGAGUACGGCCGCAAGGUUAAAACUCAAAUGAAUUGACGGGGGCCCGCACAAGCGGUGGAGCAUGUGGUUUAAUUCGAUGCAACGCGAAGAACCUUACCUACCCUUGACAUCGUGCGAACUUUCCAGAGAUGGAUUGGUGCCUUCGGGAACGCACAGACAGGUGCUGCAUGGCUGUCGUCAGCUCGUGUUGUGAAAUGUUGGGUUAAGUCCCGUAACGAGCGCAACCCUUGUCCUUAUUUGCCAGCGAGUAAUGUCGGGAACUCUAAGGAGACUGCCGGUGACAAACCGGAGGAAGGUGGGGACGACGUCAAGUCAUCAUGGCCCUUACGGGUAGGGCUACACACGUGCUACAAUGGCCGGUACAAAGGGUUGCGAAGCCGCGAGGUGGAGCUAAUCCCGAAAAGCUGGUCUCAGUCCGGAUCGGAGUCUGCAACUCGACUCCGUGAAGUCGGAAUCGCUAGUAAUCGUGAAUCAGAAUGUCACGGUGAAUACGUUCCCGGGCCUUGUACACACCGCCCGUCACACCA